GUUCUUCUGGCUAGAUCAUGGUGAGCAAGUGCAACUGGUAGCAGGUGGCAGGGAUCUAACUUCCAGAGCCACUAAUUGGGCACAGCAUUUAAAGCGUGAAUUAAUUUUUGUUGGACACGAGGCGACAGAGCACCUUGAUCGAUGAGGAUUAAUUUUCGAGGAUGAGUACUUUCUAUUCAGGUUAGACAGAAAGUCAUUAUGCAUAUGCUAUGUGGGGAAUUGCAUACAGCAAACGCGGGAAGAAGCAGAACGAGGCAUCGGCACAAUAGGCACGCUCUGUUCGACCAAAAUGAACCAGCGCAGACAUCGUGAUUGGUUCGCUCAAUUCCAGGAUGCUCCAGAUUAGUUUAUUUCAGUUUUAUCCCUUCCAAAAGUCUGGUUUGUUUCAAAGAUUAGAUCAAUGUAAAGGUGGCAUCCUAUAGAAGUAUGGGGGCAUUUCCUAUUCAAAUCAAGCAAGAAUCAGGUUAUAUUCUUCCUCCCUGUUCUUCAGUUCUUUCUGUCACCAUCCACCAGCAGCACGGCUCUGGGGAGGCGAGGCUUGGGACCAUAUGUCCUCCCCUAGAGCAUAUGUGGUGAGUGAUGUAAAUAAGCAAAUAUGACUAGGACCUCCAUGGCAAUUCUUUUUCCUUAAUUUUUCUCCAUUGCUGUAGUCCUUUCAUUUUGUUUCAAUUAUUGCAUAUUGUUUUAAUUAAUUGAACAAUUAUUGUAUAUUAGUCAGGUUUAUGA
rnacentral:sRNA from 1 species